rnacentral:tRNA from 1 species
UUAGUUAAAACCAAAAGAAGAGGUAUGUUAUUGUUAAUAAUAAAAUUGAAUGAAUUUCUAACUAAA